rnacentral:rRNA from 1 species
GACGAACGCUGGCGGCGUGCUUAACACAUGCAAGUCGAACGGAAAGGCCUCUUUCGGGGGGUACUCGAGUGGCGAACGGGUGAGUAACACGUGAGUAACCUGCCCUUGACUUUGGGAUAACUUCAGGAAACUGGGGCUAAUACCGGAUAGGAGCUCCUGCUGCAUGGUGGGGGUUGGAAAGUUUCGGCGGUUGGGGAUGGACUCGCGGCUUAUCAGCUUGUUGGUGGGGUAGUGGCUUACCAAGGCUUUGACGGGUAGCCGGCCUGAGAGGGUGACCGGCCACAUUGGGACUGAGAUACGGCCCAGACUCCGACGGGAGGCAGAAGUGGGGAAUAUUGCACAAUGGGUGGAAGCCUGAUGCAGCAACGCCGUGGGCGGGAUGACGGCCUUCGGGUUGUAAACCGCUUUCGCUCAUGACGAAGCUUUGUGUGACGGUAGUGGGUAAAGAAGCACCGGCUAACUACGUG